rnacentral:lncRNA from 1 species
CUAAAAUCUAGCUAUAUUAUAACAGAAAAUUUAGACUAGCCCUGUAGAAUAUCAAAUUCACUAUACUCUGUUUUAAUUCUUGAAGUAAGUAAGUUGAGCUCUGUUACUAUUUAGUAUCUAGACUAAUAGUGUAGCUUUUGCUCAGUUUGUAUAAUACACAGAGCAAGCCUGCUGGCCCCUAAGGAAGUGGAAGAUGUUCAUGUUUACUGGGGAAGGGAGGUUGGGAAAACUGGGGUUCUCCCUUGUAUGUUUGCUUUCAGAUUAGAUGUGCCUUUUGCACUUUAUAUUGCUGAUUAUGUGGACAUGUACAUUAUAAUAUUUUAAUUAAAGUAACUCUCAUAAGAUUAAACAGUGACUUAAAAGGUUUCUUCAAAAAAAAAAAAAUCCCCUGGACUGAAAAUAAUACUAAUAUGGCAAGCAUAAAAGAACAGCAUGACUGUACCAGAACUGGCACCUCAGCUCCAGUCCUGAGCUCUUACACAGCCCCACUGUGAGUAAAAGCAGUGAGAGUCCAAUCUGAUUUGACAGGGGCUUAGCCAGAAAUCUUCCAAAUUUCCAAGAAAACUUUCUAAAAUGUGGAUUUACCUUCGCUAUUAUUACCAAUAAAUCCUGCCCUGUGUAUAUAAUGUUUCUUAUAUUAGGCAAUCAUAGCUCUGCACGUAAAUUUGAUUAGGGAGGCAUUCGGUUGCAAGGAACAGAAAACCCAACCACAGUGACUUAAGACAGAAGGAGAUUAUUUUCUUCUUGUAACAAGAAAUCUGGAGUUGGGCAGUCAUAGGCAAUUGUCAACUGCCUAAGGGAGUUAUGAAGAACUCAGGCCCCUUCUGUCUUCUAACUCUACUUUCUUUUUUUUUUUUCUCCAUUUAUAUAUUUAUUCAAUCAUUUAUUUGUAACAUUAUGGACUCAUAGUUUUUAUUAUUAUACUUUAAGUUUUAGGGUACAUGUGCACAACAUGCAGGUUUGUUACAUAUGUAUACAUGUGCCAUGUUGGUGUGCUGCACCCAUUAACUCGUCAUUUAGCAUUAGGUAUAUCUCCUAAUGCUAUCCCUCCCCCCUCCCACCACCCGGGCUAAUAUCCAGAAUCUACAAUGAACUCAAACAAAUUUACAAGAAAAAAACAAACAACCCCAUCAAAAAGUGGGCGAAGGAUAUGAACAGACACUUCUCUAACUCUGCUUUCUUUACCAGGUAGCAUUUGUCUCCACGGUUGGAAGACUGCUGCUGCAGCACAGACUGGUGUCUCUAUUAAUAGAUAUCUCAGUUGCACUACAGACAGGAAGAAGGGCAAAGGGGAAGAACACGAUGGCUUUUAGCAGCCUGACGCCUUGGUUUUUAGUUUCUGUCUCUAGUGACAGGUGGAAAAGAAGGAUGAGGAAGGGGCUUUACUGGCCCAACCAGAAAUAGUAACUAAGAACCCAUGACUGUAUUCUCUCCCUUGGACACCCCUGGGAAGCUCUGUACUGAAAAAAAAUGAAAGCCUUCCAGAUGUGUUCUGCUAUGGUCCACAGGCUGGAGGGUGCAUGGAACCCACCCAGAGGUGCUCUGCAAUCAGCAAUUCAGUGAGCCAUUCACAGUCCAACCAGUUGCCUUCUGAUGAGAAUGCAUCACACCGCAUGUGGGGAGGGCCAUGUGGGAAUUCUCACACCUGUUGCCUAGAUGCCUGUGUCUGGUUAGAACCACUGCAUGCUUUCUUUCAGUCUACAUUGAAUACGUCUUUGCUGCUCUGGGAUCCAUCCUCCAGUCUUCAGUCAGCUAAGAAAAUGACCUGUGGGCACGUUGGCUUCCUUUCUUCGGAUUAAGUGGUUGUUCAGAGAGAGGCUGAGUCUGAUUGUUUACACAAGAAGGAAGUGAACACUGGCUGUGUGCCUGGCACUGUUAGGAGCCAUCAAACCAUGUCCAGAAAGGACGCAGGGAAAGGAGAUGUCGAUGUUUCCAGACAUUUUGUGAUGUGAAGAGAGCGCCUGAAGGUUUUUGAUGAUGCUUAACUCACGUGCUUUGCUUAAAGAACUGCAGGGACUGACCUGAAACGCUAAGCAUGGAAUCCAGGUUGCAGAACAUCCCACUCUGGAAAGAAGGCUGAGCCGUUCAUCUGUAUUCCUGUUGCAAUCAAGCUAAUGCCAGCCAGACCACCAGGUGGCCCAUUAUUCAAGACAGUCAUUGAGACUAGACAGACUGACCAGCAUGUAUUCAGCUCUUGUACAUAAUUCCCCCAGACUCCCCCUCGCAUAACACCCCUGGCCAGCCUGAGAAAUUCGAGAUGGUCUUUGUGACACUAGCCCACCAUCUCCUCAGGUUGCCAGCUCCUCAUAAACCUACUUCUCCUCCGACCAACUCUUGUGUCUCCAGUUUGGCUCUCAAGGAGCGAGCAGCCGAACCUAGGUUCAGUGACAUUUCUAAAUGCUAUGACAUACAGGCUGUAAGCACUCACAAGGCAAGCAACAUGAACUCAAUUCCCUGAGUCAUGGGAAAUGACGGGCUCCUAUGACUACCUUUGUUUAAAGUGAAAAGGAAAUACAGGUAAACUUAGAGUGCCCAGAAUUGAGAUGGAAAGCUUUUAUUCUUGGGGAACUGUAAGUAAGAUGAUGUGCAUGUGAAAAAAACCCACAAACUACAAGUCCCAAAGAGUAGUGGAAAGCCUGCCCUUUAGAUUGGAACAGUGAGCCCAAUGGGCAAGGGUUCCAGUUGAGACUCAUCCUGUGGAGUGGAGCCCAGGUUUCCAUAAAGGUCCCACGAUGACUGGAAGUGACUUCGCAAACCCCACCCCUCUACUCCCUCCAUGCUGCAUCUCAGGGUCAGGGCUGGGGCAGGAAGCAAAUUGCACACCUGUAACAUGAAGACAAGCGAAAGGAUUUAAGGUGAAGAAGGUUAGGAUGGAAGCCCUCCUAGUAAUUCAUUGGUGUUGGAGAGAUGACUGUAUUUCUACCUCGGUGAAAGCCAAGCUUUUAAUUCAAUAUCACUCCAAAAACACAAAUUACAAGUUGUGUGAUACACAGACGAUUAACCCACCUAAUAAUUAAAUUAAAAAACACUUUUUGAGGGAACAAAUUAGAUUAUGUUUUCCGAAUCAGCAGCUUAGAGAUUUUUAUUACCUAUUAAUAAAAAUUAUCUAAACAUCCAUCACCAUAACUUUUCCUCUACUUUGUUUCCAUUUCUUUCUUUCUUUUUUUUUUUUUUUUUGAGAUGAAGUUUCACUCUUGUUGCCCAGGUUGGAGUACAAUGGUGUGAUCUUGGCUCACUGCAAUCUCCGCCUCCUGGAUUCAAGUGAUUCUCCUGCCUCAGCCUCCCAAGUCGCUGGGAUUACAGGCAUGCGCCGCCAAGCCUGGCUAAUUUUUUAUAUUUUAAGUAGAGACUAGAGACAGGGUUUCACCAUGUUGGCCAGGCUGGUCUUGAACUCCUGACCUUCAGGUGAUUCACCCGCCUCGGCCUCCUAAAGUGCUGGGAUUAUAGGCGUGAGCCACCGUGACCAGCCUUUGUUUCCAUUUCUAUAGUAUAGUUUCAAUUUUGUGUCUGUGCAAAUAAAAGUGUCCAGCAAUAUGAAAGAAAAAAAAUUUUUAGGCUUUUUACAUUUUUCAAUUGUUUUCUUCAGUGUGUCUUGAUUCAUUUUUUAUUUCCCUCUUCAGAUUCUCUCCUAGUUUUGUUGUGUUUUUUUUUAAGUUUUAAUCAGUGAUUCACCAUCAAUGAUUCUCCACCUUAUAGCUCUCCUCUUCAUCUGUAGUAACACAGUGCUGGCACGUAGGAGGCACUCAAUGAAUAUUUGACAAGCGAAUGAACUCAUGUCAAUGGUUCUCAAUAUUUGGAAUAAAGGCCACUUUAGGCAUGUGGUGAUAGCAAUAGAUUCUUUCCUCUGGUAAUGGAACACACACACGAUUUUACAUGACAGUUUCAGGGGAUUCAUAAAGCCCAUCUUCUGACCUAGGGUUCUUUAAACCCCAGAUAUCACAUUAAAGUGCUACUGUGUUUGGAAACACUAGAAGAUAUUUGUUGUAGGUUCCGGGUAUAAGGGAAGAUGGUGUCCGAUAUUAAAUUUAUGACUUGGUAAUUCGAGACACUCUCCCUCACAACUGAUCUGGGAGGCACUGUCUGUAAUGAAGAAAAAAUGGUACCCAAAGCAUCAGUCCAUAAAACUAAUUUAGCACACUCUACCCAAAGGGACGCCAUCUGUCUGAAUAACAAAGUGUAAAUAAGCUCAGAGGAUGUAGAUAUGGUAUCUUCUCAGACUUUAGACCUCCACAGGAAUCCCACGGGAAUCAUGUUAGAAUGCAGAUUCUGACUCAGUGGGCUCGAGGUGAGGCCGAUAUUCUGCAUUUCUGACUUGCUCUCAGGGGUUGCCAUGCAGCUGGUCUAUUCACAGAUCACAAUUUGAGUACCCAGGCCUCAGAGCAUCCUCAGUACCCCAAGUGUACUGUUCCUCUGCACCUCUCUUCCAAAACGUAUCCUCACAUAUACCAGCUUUCAAAAGCACAUUUCAAACUUUGUUACUUGCUCAUAUAAAGUUGGGUGUUAAAAUAUGCCCCCUCAAAAUAAUACCAACAAACAAUCCUUUGAAUUAUCCCAUGCAGAUGUCACCGUCCUCUUGUUACAGACAAAAGCCAAAAUUGACAAAUGGGAUCUAAUUAAACU